rnacentral:rRNA from 1 species
AUUGAACGCUGGCGGCAUGCCUUACACAUGCAAGUCGAACGGCAGCACGGGGCAACCUGGUGGCGAGUGGCGAACGGGUGAGUAAUGCAUCGGAACGUGCCAUUGAGUGGGGGAUAACGUAGCGAAAGUUGCGCUAAUACCGCAUAUUCUGUGAGCAGGAAAGCAGGGGACCGCAAGGCCUUGCGCUCUUUGAGCGGCCGAUGUCAGAUUAGCUAGUUGGUGAGGUAACGGCUUACCAAGGCGACGAUCUGUAGCGGGUCUGAGAGGAUGAUCCGCCACACUGGAACUGAGACACGGUCCAGACUCCUACGGGAGGCAGCAGUGGGGAAUAUUGGACAAUGGGCGCAAGCCUGAUCCAGCCAUACCGCGUGGGUGAAGAAGGCCUUCGGGUUGUAAAGCCUUUGUUGGGAAAGAAAACUUGCGGGCUAAUACCCAGCAAGUCUGACGGUACCCAAAGAAUAAGCACCGGCUAACUCGUGCCAGCACG